AUUGAACGCUGGCGGCAGGCCUAACACAUGCAAGUCGGACGGCAGCACAGAAGAGCUUGCUCUUUGGGUGGCGAGUGGCGGACGGGUGAGUAAUGUCUGGGAAACUGCCCGAUGGAGGGGGAUAACUACUGGAAACGGUAGCUAAUACCGCAUAACGUCGCGAGACCAAAGUGGGGGACCUUCGGGCCUCACACCAUCGGAUGUGCCCAGAUGGGAUUAGCUAGUAGGUGGGGUAAUGGCUCACCUAGGCGACGAUCCCUAGCUGGUCUGGGAGGAUGACAAGCCAAACUGGAACUGAGACACGGUCCAGACUCCUACGGGAGGCAGCAGUGGGGAGUAUUGCACAAUGGGCGCAAGCCUGAUGCAGCCAUGCCGCGUGUAUGAAGAAGGCCUUCGGGUUGUAAAGUACUUUCAGCGGGGAGGAAGGCGGUGAGGUUAAUAACCUCGCCGAUUGACGUUACCCGCAGAAGAAGCACCGGCUAACUCCGUGCCAGCAGCCGCCGUAA
rnacentral:rRNA from 1 species